CAUAUCUGUCAUCCUUUACCAGCCUCUAGUGUUUUUAUCAUUUCCAAUCUCUUCCUCAAAGGCUGCCGUCUUGGGACUGGGGACUGGUUGAGUAUCUGCUUAGCAUGCACAAAACCUUGCAUUUGUUCUUUAGCACCAGACAAGCAUGGUGGUGACUCCUGCUCAGUCCAGGGUCAUCUGUGCUUACAUAGUGAGUUUGAGGGUGGCCUACACUGCAUGAGACCCUACCUUUAAAAAAUAAGAAUUUCAAAUGUAUUUCUGUGGGGGGUGGGAAAGUCUAUGUGGAGGUCAAAGGAUAGCUUGCUAGAGUCACUUCUCUCCUAACACAUGGGGUCCACAGAUUGGAUUUAGGUCAUCAGAUCACAAGCACAUGUACCCGAUGAGCCACCUCAGCAGCCCGCCCCCCCUUACAGGCAAAUGCCCAGAGUAAUCAGCAGAAGGAGCAACUGGAGCGUCUUCGGAAGGAUAUGGGCUCCGUAGCCCUGGAUCCAGAGGCCGGCAAAGGCAACGCAUCUCCUGUGCUGGAUCCUUCUGACUUGAUCCUGACUCGAGGAACCUUGGAUGAGGAGGAUGAAGAAGCUGACAGUGACACGGAUGACAUUGACCACAGAGUUACAGAGGAAAGCCGUGAAGAGCCAGC
rnacentral:lncRNA from 1 species